AACGAACGCUGGCGGCAUGCCUAACACAUGCAAGUCGAACGAGACCUUCGGGUCUUGUGUCGCACGGGUGCGUAACGCGUGGGAACCUGCCCUUAGGUUCGGAAUAACUCCCCGACAGGGGUGCUAAUACCGGAUAAUGUCUUCGGACCAAAGAUUUAUUGCCUUUGGAUGGUCCCGCGUUGGAUUAGCUAGUUGGUAGGGUAAAAGCCUACCACGGCGACGAUCCAUAGCUGGUCUGAGAGGAUGAUCAGCCACACUGGGACUGAGACACGGCCCAGACUCCUACGGGAGGCAGCAGUGGGGAAUAUUGGACAAUGGGCGAAAGCCUGAUCCAGCAAUGCCGCGUGAGUGAUGAAGGCCUUAGGGUUGUAAAGCUCUUUUACCCGGGAUGAUAAUGACAGUACCGGGAGAAUAAGCUCCGGCUAACUCCGUG
rnacentral:rRNA from 1 species